GUUGGUGUCAGUGAUGACUGAUCUUUUUUCCCCAACAGAUCGACUCUGUUGACCACAUGUAACUAAGCCAAAACUGUCUGACACACCAGC